rnacentral:rRNA from 1 species
GACGAACGCUGGCGGCGUGCUUAACACAUGCAAGUCGAACGGAAAGGCCCCUUUGGGGGUACUCGAGUGGCGAACGGGUGAGUAACACGUGAGUAACCUGCCCUUGACUUCGGGAUAACUUCAGGAAACUGGGGCUAAUACCGGAUAGGAAUCCUUGCUGCAUGGUGGGGGUUGGAAAGCUUCGGCGGUUUUGGAUGGACUCGCGGCUUAUCAGCUUGUUGGUGGGGUAGUGGCUUACCAAGGCUUUGACGGGUAGCCGGCCUGAGAGGGCGAGCGGCCACAUUGGGACUGAGAUACGGCCCAGACUCCUACGGGAGGCAGCAGUGGGGAAUAUUGCACAAUGGGCGGAAGCCUGAUGCAGCAACGCCGCGUGCGGGAUGACGGCCUUCGGGUUGUAAACCGCUUUCAGCAGGGGCGAAGCUUGUGGUGACGGUACCUGCAGAAGAAGCACCGGCUAACUACGUG